rnacentral:misc_RNA from 1 species
GAUGAGAACGUAGUGAAAUGCGAUAAGUAAUGUGAAUUGCAGAAUUCAGUGAAUCAUCGAAUCUUUGAACGCACAUUGCGCCCGCUAGUAUUCUGGCGGGCAUGCCUGUCCGAGCGUCAUUUCAACCCUCAAGCCCCCGGGCUUGGUGUUGGGGAUCGGCGAGCCUCCGCGCCCGCCGUCCCCUAAAUCUAGUGGCGGUCUCGCUGUAGCUUCCUCUGCGUAGUAGCACACCUCGCACUGGGAAACAGCGCGGCCACGCCGUUAAACCCCCAACUUCUGAACGUUUGACCUCGGAUCAGGUAGGAAUACCCGCUGAACUUAAGCAUAUCAAUAAGCGGAGGA